rnacentral:rRNA from 1 species
GAUGAACGCUGGCGGCGUGCCUAAUACAUGCAAGUCGAGCGAACAGACGAGGAGCUUGCUCCUUUGACGUUAGCGGCGGACGGGUGAGUAACACGUGGGUAACCUACCUAUAAGACUGGGAUAACUUCGGGAAACCGGAGCUAAUACCGGAUAAUAUUUCGAACCGCAUGGUUCGAUAGUGAAAGAUGGCUUUGCUAUCACUUAUAGAUGGACCUGCGCCGUAUUAGCUAGUUGGUAAGGUAACGGCUUACCAAGGCAACGAUACGUAGCCGACCUGAGAGGGUGAUCGGCCACACUGGAACUGAGACACGGUCCAGACUCCUACGGGAGGCAGCAGUAGGGAAUCUUCCGCAACGGGCGAAAGCCUGACGGAGCAACGCCGCGUGAGUGAUGAAGGUCUUCGGAUCGUAAAACUCUGUUAUUAGGGAAGAACAAACGUGUAAGUAACUGUGCACGUCUUGACGGUACCUAAUCAGAAAGCCACGGCUAACUACGUG